ensembl:lncRNA
GUGUGUGUGUGUGUGUGUGUGUGUGUGUGUGUGUUAGGCCUAUAUUACAGUUUGAAAAUGUAAACGAGCAAAAUGCCUUUUCGAUUACUAAAUCCGUAUCCAAAACUGAAUGGGCAACCAUGAUUCCCAUCCACUUACAUUAUAAGACUGAUAGACUGCAACGGUUUGAGCUAAAAAUCUUGGUUUGUGUUCUACUGAAGAAACAAAGUGACCUACAUCUUGGAUGCCCUGGGGGUAAGCAGAUAAACAUUAAAUAUUCAUUUUUGGGUGUACUAUCCCUUUAACAACUGUCAAGAUCACCAGCUGGAGCGCUCUUGAUAGCCACCAGAGGGGACUCCAUACUCCAUACUCCAUAGCCUCUCCGCAAGAUGGCCACCAUGCCAGAGUCUCCAGCCAUUAUGGACAUCAUGCCAGAGUCUUCAGCUGUCAUUGACGCCAUGCCAGUGUUCCCAUCCAUAAAGAAUGUUCCACCUGAAGCUAAUAGGCAGUGCCCAGGAAACCAAGACUGAUGUCCAUUGUGGGGGAUCCACCAUUGAUGUUGGUGCAAGCAGUAGGCAUCUCAGUGGUUUCAGCACUCUCAAGCCCGGUGAUCUCAGAGGUUCUGCCACCCUCCAAUGCCCUUUCAGUAAUGGAAUAGACACACUUCUGAUGCUGUGGUGACCGCAAGUCUAUUCCAGAGCCCGCUCCAGUCCUUAAAUCAACACCAGAAUCCACUCAAGCCCCAGAGCUCAGUCCUGUGUUGGGGCCAGCCUUUCUGCUUGAUCCGCCUUGGUGGACAUCUGAUCAACCUGAGCCAUAUUGGUGGUCCCCUGCACCAUCAGCACAGCUGAAGUGGUCCUCAGUUCCAUCAGCUCCACCCUGGUGGUCUUCUGCUCCAUCAUGGGGAUCUUCAGUCGUGUCUGCUCUGCUGUGGUAGUCUUCUGCUUUGCCGGCUCUGUCCUGGUGGUCUUCGGCUCCAUCCUGGCUGUUUGGAAGCCACUCCUUCAGGGGAGGAGGAUGGGCUAUGUCACGAUCACCAGCUAGAAUGCUCUUGAAUGCACUCCAUACCAUACCUUUUCCACUCUUUCAAGGACUUCAUUCCCCAUAAUCCUCUGCCCAGUCUCAUCAGCGCUCAUUGUUUGCACCUGUGUCUCAUUAGCAUGGUUAGCUCAUCCUAUAUAACCAGGUUCUCACUGCCAUUCUUUGCUAAGUCUUGUAUGUUUUUUUACUGCAAUUAUAAGCCUUGUAUCCUGGUUCUCCCAUAUCUUGG